GGAUUGUGGCUCAGCGGUAGAACGCUCACCUAGCAAGGGCGGGACCCGAGUUCGAUCCUCAGCACCA
rnacentral:tRNA from 1 species